UCUGGUAAUUUUAAUAUCAGCCUGAAAUGUCCUAUAUCCACACUGUUUCCUGAUUUCUUAGGGGGGAAAAUCCUAUUUAAUCUGCACCAUGUUCACUCCUGUCUGUUCUCUGCUGGCUACCCGGCUGCGGGAAUGUCUGAUUUUUCACUUGCUGAUUUAGAGGCUCGUAUGACACAUUCAACCUUUUAAAUAAAUCAUUCAUUUUUUUUUAAAGGUUGGCUAUGUCAUAGUGUUGUGAUGCACCCAAUUUUUAAAAUAACUGUUUAUUUGAUGUCAGGUACAUCAGACAGAAAAAAUAAAUGGGACUUGGUAGAGCUUAUUGCAAAAAUUUGAUCUUUUUGAUUUGGAUAUACUUAGUCAGUUGCUCGAUGAAUUGAGACUAUUUUUGGUUCAAGAGAAAGUGGGAAAUUAUGCAGCGCGUGUCUUCCGGGGCCUCUGGACUCUUCUCUGGGCAGCUUUCCUCCCUUCUCUGAAGCCUUCACUUUCUCAGGUGUUCAUGGUCAUCCAGGAUUUUUCCCUCAUCUCUGUUAUCAAAAUUGGCUCUUAGGAAAUGAUUUCAAACCAGCCAUGCACAAUGCAGUGUAGCUGUCCCUGGGGUACUCGGUGUCUUCCACAAUGAGCAGGGCUGGAGCUGUGGCUUUUUAUCUUUUCAUCCCUACUGCCUGGGACUGUGCCUGGAACACAGUAGCUACUUAAUAUGCACUUAUGAAAUGAAGGAACGUCUACGACCAUUUGUAUCUUAAGGCUUAACCUCUAUAAAAUGAAAACUUAAAAGCGUUUCAUGCAGAUACAUGGGCAAGAUUUGGGAAGAAUACACUAAGCUCCAGUAAAAUUAGGCAGAUGAGAGGUAGAGCAUGGGACAUAACCGCCCCCCAGAGCCUGCUCCCUGGUGUCCUCUCUCCCACAGUCCACAUGUGUUUGCAUGCUAUAGGGCCCAGGUGCAUGUCAGGGCUGCACUUUUAUUCCAAGGCUUAUAAAUCUGGAACAUGUGUAUCUACACAUGGGCUGUCCUCACUUAAUACAUAGGCACCCGUGAUAAGGCUGAUGUGACUCUUGCUAUACAAAGUUUAAGAUGGCCCUGAGCAUGAGCAGACUCUUAGAAAUACUUUGAAACCCCGUCUCUACUAAAAAGAUACAAAAAAAACUAGCCGGGCGGUGGCGAGCCUGUAGUCCCAGCUGCUCGGGAGGCUGAGGCAGGAGAAUGGCAUGAACCUGGGAGGCGGAGCUUGCAGUGAGCUGAGAUCCGGCCACUGCCCUCCAGCCUGGGCGACUGAGCGAGACUCCGUCUCAAAAAAAAAAAAAAAAA
rnacentral:lncRNA from 1 species